GUAAUUUGGAAGAGUGAAAAGGAG
rnacentral:siRNA from 1 species